UGGGGAAUUUUGGACAAUGGGCGAAAGCCUGAUCCCAGCAAUGCCGCGUGUGUGAAGAAGGCCUUCGGGUUGUAAAGCACUUUUGUCCGGAAAGAAAUCCUUGGCUCUAAUACAGUCGGGGGAUGACGGUACCGGAAGAAUAAGCACCGGCUAACUACGUGCCAGCAGCCGCGGUAAUACGUAGGGUGCAAGCGUUAAUCGGAAUUACUGGGCGUAAAGCGUGCGCAGGCGGUUUGCUAAGACCGAUGUGAAAUCCCCGGGCUCAACCUGGGAACUGCAUUGGUGACUGGCAGGCUAGAGUAUGGCAGAGGGGGGUAGAAUUCCACGUGUAGCAGUGAAAAUGCGUAGAGAUGUGGAGGAAUACCGAUGGCGAAGGCAGCCCCCUGGGCCAAUACUGACGCUCAUGCACGAAAGGCGUGGGGGAGCAAAACAGGAUUAGAUACCCCUGGUGGUCCCAGCGCCCUAAACGAUGUCAACUAGUUGUUGGGGAUUCAUUUCCUUAGUAACGUAGCUAACGCGUGAAGUUGACCGCCUGGGGAGUACGGUCGCAAGAUUAAAACUCAAAUGAAUUGACGGGGUCAUAGCUG
rnacentral:rRNA from 1 species